UACAGCCAUAUCAUGUUGAAGCAACAGUUCCCAUAUGAUCACCAAAGUUAAGCAAUGGUGAUCCUGGUCAGUACCUAGAUUGCUGACAGCUUGGGAAUACUAGGUGUUGUAA